rnacentral:lncRNA from 1 species
GGAGCUUUAAUUGGAACUGACCUUGUAAAGCAUGCUCCCUUAUGUUCAGGCUUACAGUCAUGGGUGGGCUGGCUGAUCUAUUUAAAAAUGCCUGGUUCACAUUAACUACCCAGUUUUCAGAGAGAGUUUUUAGAUGCUUGGCGGUAUCACACGGAACAAAUGACUGCGUUUGAAUAUUGAUCCGGCACCUUGGCAGUUAAUGGAAACAAUAAGUAUCGAUGUUGCUUGUAGCACCUCAGACAGCACUAUCAUGAAAUGUUUUGAGGUAAGAAAAUACUUUCCUUAAGGAAAAAAAAAUACUAAUUAUACAACUCCUGCUACUAGGACAACAGCUUUCCAGUUGCUGAUCUGUAUGUAUUUUUAGAAGGAACAGAAAUGAGAGUCAAGUAAGGUCUAACAAGCAAGGAGAUUCUCCCAGGACAGAUUUGAUCAAAAUUAGUUCCUAUGAUUAUAACAUAGAUCCAAAUGUAACAGGCCCAUCAAAUAGCAAAUGCACUGUUUUGCUCCAGAAGGCUACGCGGAAAAGAAAUGCUGUGUCUUUUUGCCGGUUGGGUGGAAGCAAGCAAAGGGUUGGAACUGGACGGGGCAAAGCAGGUGUUUACGAGGAAGCCUAGGACUGGACCCUGGCUCCACUGCCAUCGAAGAUUGCCAGACUGACACCUAGCCCAGAGGACGGACGCUUGCCCUGUGAGAGCGGCUCUCUCCAGCACCGCAACGCGGCGUCAGCCCUGCCUUGGAGGCAAAGUGGGGGCGUGAGACCUAAACCUGCAACCUUGCGGCCGAAAAGCAAGGUUGUAGCAAAGGAGGCCUGGGGGCAUGGCCGGAGGGGACAGAAGAGAGCAACGGUAGCCUAAUUUUUAUGGUGCAGCCCUAGCCGUCCACAUUACUGUAACACCAGGCAGGAAAAAAACUGUACAUUUUAAAGACUUGGCUGCAGAAAUACAGAAAAAACUUAUUACCAGCAAUGGCUUUUUGUUCUGUUUGGGGAGAGGAGGCAACACAACGGUUCUAUUCCAAAUACUUUCCUCCUUCCCCUCUUAUCUAGAGGAGUGGUUUUGUACAUGAAAAUAAAGUGGGCUUUCUAGACA